GUAAGUUCAGGGCUGGGAGCAGAGA
rnacentral:miRNA from 1 species